CUGGGCAAGGCAAUUCCGCCCAGGGUUAGUCGGUCCCUAAGGCGAGGCUGAAAGGCGUAGUCGAUGGGAAGCAGGUCAACAUUCCUGCACCACUGUUAGCGUUGAACGAGGAGUGACGGCGGGUAGAAGGUUGUCCGGCUGUUAGAUGCCGGUUCUUGGUUUGGGGUGGCUGAUAGGAAAAUCCGUCAGCGGAAUCUCCGGGCCGAGAGGAGUCCCAGAGGCGAACCAACUGGAAGUCCGUCCAAGAAAACCUUCGCGGGAGCGAAGCAGUGACCGUACCAAAUCUGACACAGGAGGGCGAGGCGAAUAGCCUCAGGCGCUCGAGAGAACCCUACGUGAAGGAACUCGGCAAAUUAACCCCGUAAGUUAGCGAUAAGGGGUGCCUCCGCAAGGAGGUCACAGUAAAUCGACAGCUGCGACUGUUUACUAAAAACACAGGUCUCUGCAAAGUCGUCAAAGACGACGUAUAGAGACUGACGCUUGCCCGCUGUUGGAACGUUAAGGUGACUGGUUAGCCGCAAGGCGAAGCUGGGAACCGAAGCGCCAAUGAAGGGCGGCCGUAACUAUGACGGUCCUAAGGUAGCGAAAU
rnacentral:rRNA from 1 species